CUGACUGAGCCCGAUGCGGCACCGGUAGCCGCGGAUGCGGUGGGAGGAAAGAACUUGAGUGUCAUUCGCUGCUUUUCAUGCAGCUAAAGACAGAGUGACUGGACCGCGUAGCUAGAUGUGUAUUUUGUAUCAGCCGAUGUAAGGAAGUCACGCUCUUUGCUUCGAGAGACUUGGGGUGCAGGUCCAGGUCACCACCGCUUGCCGAAAGUGGCAGCUUUAUCUUAGCUGUGAUGUAGCAACUCCCUCAGAACAGGCCAGGCCUCCCCUUUUUUGAGGUAGGGACACACCACUGAAACAGGGUAUAGAACAUAGGAACGAGGGCACUAGGGGCAUUUUCUGUUUUCUUUUGGGGAGAGAUGAGGGGGCAAGGGGCAGCACAGCAGCCUGCCGUGCUAGGGGUCCCACUGGAGGCGGUGCAGGCAGGUGGGAUGCACAGGACAGCAAGAUCUGCAGCAGCUUCUCCCCACGCUGGUUUGAUAAAAGAGGAAUUCAGCCCAGUGGGUCUGUCUGCUCAAAAGGUCUCUGCUGGAGCAGGUGGAGCACAGAAAGAUAGUACCAAGGAAAUAAACAGUUUUUUCUCAUCCCCCCCCCCCCAAUUGUUGGUUUGGUUUUGGUUUUUGGUUGUUGUUUUUUUUUUCUCCAGCAAAUAAAAUAAAGGGAAAAGACCACACUAGAAAGAUAAGUUGUGCUCUUGGCUAUUUCUGCUAAGCUUUAAUAGGUUUGCAAAACAGAGGUGUAAAACUUGCAAGAAGGGUGAAAUAAUUAGACUAGGAAUGUGGGGGUUUUGUCCCUGCUGUAUUUAUCCUUGGGCCAGAUCAGAAACAUAAGACGUCCAACAGGUGUUUUCAAACGAAAGAACUGAACAGUUCCUCCUUUCUCUAAAAGCCACAUACUUUUCCUAUCUAAUCAGUAAUACGAAAUGGGGAGGUGCUGACACAAGCAAGAAUAGCUGAUGACUUCAUCAGUGUGGCAGCAGCUUUCCCUUUCAAGUGUGAGCAAUUUAUUGUGGGUUUGGGAGGUUUUAUUUUGUUUUUAAUUUUGUCUUCUAUGCAGGAAACUGCAGUCACCCUUAGGACUGUUCCAGUCUUACUUUAAAUCUAGGCUGAGGCAGAGCACAGUACUAUGUGCUAUUACUCUCUAACAAGCACCAACUGCUGCUCUUGCAAUCAAAACAAAUGUAAAGCCAGUAACUCUAGUCACCAGCAAUUUUUACUCUUAUUAUUAGUGGAUUUGACCUAAGAACUAGAGGGAGCUUAAUCACCAUAGCUAGAUGUUAACAUUGUGUACAUAACCAUGAAGGGUGAAAACUUCUGAAAAACUUAAGCAAAUAAUUUCUUCUCUUCCCCAACAGACAGACUGGCUAUUCUGACAUGGGAAAAACCCUGUAAUUUCAGAGAGGUGACCAGUAAAACUGCAACAAAACUGUUCCAAGAUUUAAAGCAGCAGGGAAAGCGACCUUCUACAAUGCAGUUACGAUUGUUUCUCCAUCCUCUUUGAAAACAGGCUCCUCAAAACUUUUUUGUAUGGCUGUGUUGUUUUUCUUUUUUAAACUGUAAAUUAUGUAGUGAAUUUGUGUCAUGUUUUGCUGUGAGAGUUCUCUGGAUUGUAGUUGGGAAAUUACUUUUCACCUUUACAACAUAUUAACCUCUCAGUCACACAAUCAAAGUGUCAAAAUUAUCUACUGCCCACUGCAGCGUAUUGUUAGAGAAGCUGAAGCUCCACUAAAAGGGAAAAGCGGUUUUCAGUGUAACUAAAGAUGUGGCUGCCUACACUUUCCACGCUGGACAGGCUUGAGGCCACAGCUGCCCGGAGCCCUCGGCAGCCCUCGCCCCGCGGAGGGCUGGGUGCUCUCUGGGACCGACGGCUGUGCUGUGUUGCAGCGUGGCGCGUCUGGCUGCGCUUGUUCAUGCUUCUGCCACAAAAUGAUGAGUAACACAAGAGACAAAAGAGCAAGUGUUCCUCGCUGGAGGAGCUGGUGUGCUACACAAGUGAGUAAAGCCUCAAAAUGUCCAUAAAAGAACUGAAGUGCCAGCUGUGGAGUCAAGCCACUUCCAGGCUUACCCAGAUAAAGUACGAGUCAGUAUCGUGAUUAUUUUCAUAAUCACUUAAUUGAACAGAAAUUAAUACCUCCUCUGAGCAGCAUUACAAGCCAGCAGCAAGCAAGGCAUCAUUCAUGCUGCCGAUAGCUUUGGGUGAUUUUUCUGUGUUCAGGAGUUCAGAUGCGAUCAGGCCCUAACUGACUUUGGACCAGGCUUGUUCUGAUGUGUCCCCUGCCUUUCUCCAGGUGAACUGUUCAUUUUCUGACCUGGUGUUGGCUGUCCAAGUCUGGCAUCACAGCAUACUUCCUCCUCACCACCUGCUUUUCCUUGUGUAGAUUUCCUGUCUACCAUAAUACAGAUGCUUUUGGCAUCAAUGCAGUACCCUCACUCUCGACCAUAAACCUCAUGGUGAAAUCAGCUAGCAGGGGUAGGAGCCUUCUUGUAUGGAGCCCAUUUCUGUAUGAUAAAGGUGAAGGAAAUAAUAAAAAUUUCUCUUCUGACACAUUAUCUCCUAAAGCAGGUAUCUUCAGCUGCCCAAAAGCACGCUUUUUCCCUCUUCCGUGAGAUGACAUGUAAAUAGUUAACUCUUUCUAAAAAAGUAAUGAGAGGACACUUGUUCUAUGACAACGCAUUUGCUCUGAAAAGACCACCAAAUGGACCACAGCCAGAACUUCUGAACGGGUAGGAUUAAUACCCAUUGGUUUAAUAUUAAGCUAAGCACAAACCCCAACCGAGCACGUAAGGUAUUUCUAAAGAAGGGAAUACUGAGACUCAGGUUUUGUACUCGGGGCUGAGGAAACAAAGGCACCACCCUACACAGUAUGAAUUUUAAUUGUUCUUUUUGGGAUCUGUCAAGGAAAUAGCAAAAGCCUGAAAUUAGUGUGUAGUAGGAACUAGGGAGGUCUAGAGGGAAUUGUUUAUGAUAAGGGAGGCAAGGUGGGCAAAAAAAUGAAGUACUAGCUCCCAAGUCUUUUCUUCCAGGUAACUGCUACUCUUUGGAGCCAUUAAGGUCUGGGUCCUCACACAGCCACACUGCCUCUGCCCUCCCUGUGCUCUGCUGCCCCUGCCUUCCCACCUGCGGUCACUCCCCCCCCCAGGCUGUGGGCUCCUUCAUGGCUGGCACUGGUUCUGGGCGUGCCCUUUGCCUUUUAACUCUCUAACACCAGCUGUUUCCAUGCCUCCAUUCGUAUUUGAUGUUAAUUCUGGGACAUAGAGAUCCCUUUCCGCACUGCAACAAGUGCCCUGAAAAAUCUAGGUUGCUGUUCUGAAUUACCGUUUAAGCCAUUAGUUGCUUAAGGAAGCUCGCCAGAGCCAGCAGCCAGCAAUAUUUCUUGUAUGCAAACUGCCUCCUAAAUAGUAGGACAGUCCUCCAGUAUCCGCUCUCUGUCUGUGGUAGCUGGAUUUCCUGGGGAUGUGUUCGAUGUGCAACAUGAUCAGUACAAUAAGACGGUGACACACGUUUAGCAAUUGCUUUCUGAGAGUCUGUUAAUACCACAUAAAAAAUGGUUCUCAGGUUCUGCACACAGACAGGUUUAUGUAAAAUAUAUAAACAUUUGUCCAAGUUGUUACAGAUUGCAUAAAUACGGCAUUUUUACUGUUGCAUUUACAGAUGUGCAUGUACAAUGAUGUGCAAAUAAUCACAAUUUGAUUACAAUCUUUGAAAGGUACUUGAACCUUGCAUCCAAGUAACGCAAUGAAUGAAAAAUGCCCACCAAAGAAUUUAAAUAGCAAACUUAAAACAUGGUUUAAAUUCGUAACAAAAUUCAAUGUCUUCUCAGUAAAACUUUCACACAUUUAAAAUAGUUUGUAUUCAUUUUAUUUGUAUAUGUCAAAAUACAUUUUUUUUUCCAAAAUAGUGGGUUUUGCAACUAGUUUCAUGCAGAUACAAGGUCUGCUCAGUACUACCAAUAAAAUCAAUAUAGCACAGUAGCCAUUCAUUUUUUAGAUAUAAAGAAUAAAUAACCUAAAUAUAAAACACUAAAAUAUUAGAAACAUGUAUUUAAUCAUUCACAGGCACCCAAACUUUACCAAAUAUAAUCCAGAAUAUGCCUAACUGUCUUGUAACAGAACUCAAUACGUUGCAGCCAUUCAAUUCUUUAUUUUAUGUUAGCGUAAGACAAUGGAAGUCCCUAUCGUUCAGACCCACCUCUCAUACAGUUCAAUUACAAUAAGAUAUCUCAAACUAUCUGUGUACCUUUAAAAUCAAGAAUCCUGAGCUUGGUAGUAAGAGCAUAACCUUACAUCUUCAAAAAACCAAUCAACAGAGA